AUGAGUCACAGCGUGUGUUUCCUGAUCUUGAGAAAAAGGAUGUCACGAUUCAGGGAAGGCCUUAAAGAGGAUGAAUCUGGAAAGAAGAACCCUAAGAUGUCUCAAAAACACAAGAAAAAGGAGGCUGAAAAUAAGGACAAUGCAGUGAUAUCAAAGGAUAGGCUCCCUCUGAUUGGUUCAUCAAGAAAUAAAUCUGCAGCGUGGCCCUCUCUAUCCACUCCUCAGGCCGAAACGAGGAAACGCGGCCAUCCUCCCAUCUCAUCUGCAGCUCCUGACAGCAUGACACCCUGGGAAGGCUCCUCCCACUCUGAGUCGUCCUUUACCAGUUUUCCCCCUCCAGUUUCACCCCUGCCUCUUGCCCACUCGAAGCCAAUCACAGCACCAUAUCCUCCGCCCCAACCACCCCCUCCUCAAAUCACAAACACUGAACCUGGGAAUAGUCAGAGUGCCAGGGUAAAGCGCAAGCCGCUCCCACCAAGACACCCCUCUAGACCUCCCCGUUUGCCCCCUCUGAGGCAAGUCACAAAUCUUAGCUUUUCUCGUAGCUUCACGUUUUCGUUUUUUGAGCUGCCGGUUCACCAGUCUGCACGGAGCAGAGCGGAGCGCCUCAGAGAUCUCACUGUGUUGCUGAGGCAGUUUCAAUACUGA
ensembl:lncRNA